GGGACUGUGGCUCAGUGGUAGAGCACUCGCCUAGCAUGUGUGAGGUACUGGGUUCGAGCCUCAGCACCA
rfam:Ictidomys tridecemlineatus contig023284, whole genome shotgun sequence.